GAUGAACGCUAGCGGCAGGCUUAAUACAUGCAAGUUGAGGGGCAGCAUGAUAUACGCGAGUAUAUUGAUGGCGACCGGCGGACGGGUGAGUAAUAGGUAGGAGACCUACCUCAUACAGGGGGAUAGCAUAGAGAAAUCUGUGGUAAUACCCCAUGAGGUUAUAUGAAUAGAGGCAUAUAAUCAAAGCAUAAGCGAUUAUGCGGUAUGAGAGGGGCCUACUGACCAUUAGCUAGUUGGUGAGGUAAGGGCUCACCAAGGCGAAGAUGGUUAGGGGUUUUGAGAGAGAGACCCCCCACAUUGGAACUGGGAGACGGUCCAGACUCCUACGGGAGGCAGCAGUAGGGAAUAUUGGGCAAUGGGCGAAAGCCUGACCCAGCCAUGCCGCGUGAAGGAAGACGGCCUUAUGGGUUGUAAACUUCUUUACUACGCGAAUAGAGGUUAGUACGAGAUACUAAUAGGAAGGUAGUGUAGUAAAAGCACCGGCUAACUCCGUGCC
rnacentral:rRNA from 1 species